UACGGGGGGGGCAAGCGUUGUUCGGAAUUACUGGGCGUAAAGGGUUCGUAGGUGGCCAACUAAGUCAGACGUGAAAUCCCUCAGCUUAACUGGGGAACUGCGUCUGAUACUGAUUGGCUUGAGUGCAGGAGAGGAACGCGGAAUUCCCAGUGUAGCGGUGAAAUUCGUAGAUAUCGGGAGGAACACCUGUGGCGAAAGCGGCGCACUGGACCACAACUGACGCUGAGGCGCGAAAGCUAGGGGAGCAAACAGG
rnacentral:rRNA from 1 species